CUACAAAGCGUGGCUCAAUAAAAAGGAAAGCUAAGAAAAGUACCACCGAAUAAAGAAACCUAAAAUAGAAAAAGGAAAGGAAGGUGAAGAAAUGCACAGUUAAUAUUGUUGCUGUUGGUUGUGCUACAAAUAAUGAAUCUGCUGCAAAUAAUGAAGCAACAAGCUUCAACACUGGAGAUCCUUCUAAGCAUAUUAGUAUCGAAGCAAGAAAACCUUCAGAGAGAAAAGAGGCAGAUUCCAGUGAAAGAAUUCUUUGUCAUAGCCCUCCACCACUUCCACCACCACUUGCACUGGUGGAGCUUAAAACUCAGGCAGCAUGUAGUACUG
rnacentral:lncRNA from 1 species